GAGAUAAAGGUCACUUAGAGUAGCCAAGGAGACUGCCUGUGAAGCCACAAUGGUCGUCUGAAGCCAGACAAGACCUAAAGGAGGACACCGGCAAGUCAUCCUUGGCUACCAAAGAUGGACUCUUAUUU
rfam:Musa acuminata subsp. malaccensis Doubled-haploid Pahang (DH-Pahang) genomic chromosome, chr8